rnacentral:rRNA from 1 species
AUUGAACGCUGGCGGCAGGCUUAACACAUGCAAGUCGAGCGGAGAGAAGUAGCUUGCUACUGAUCUUAGCGGCGGACGGGUGAGUAAUGCUUAGGAAUCUGCCUAUUAGUGGGGGACAACAUUCCGAAAGGGAUGCUAAUACCGCAUACGCCCUACGAGGGAAAGCAGGGGAUCUUCGGACCUUGCGCUAAUAGAUGAGCCUAAGUCGGAUUAGCUAGUUGGUGGGGUAAAGGCCUACCAAGGCGACGCUCUGUAGCGGGUCUGAGAGGAUGAUCCGCCACACUGGGACUGAGACACGGCCCAGACUCCUACGGGAGGCAGCAGCGGGGAAUAUUGGACAAUGGGCGGAAGCCUGAUCCAGCCAUGCCGCGUGUGUGAAGAAGGCCUUUUGGUUGUAAAGCACUUUAAGCGAGGAGGAGGCUCUUAAGGUUAAUACCCUUGAUGAGUGGACGUUACUCGCAGAAUAAGCACCGGCUAACUCUGUGCCAGCAGCCGCAGUAAGAC